rnacentral:rRNA from 1 species
GGAUUCCCCUAGUAACUGCGAGUGAAGCGGGAAAAGCUCAAAUUUGAAAUCUGGCAGUCUUUUUUUUCUUCUUUGGCUGUCCGAGUUGUAAUCUAGAGAAGUGCUUACCUGCACUGGACCAUGUAUAAGUCUCCUGGAAUGGAGUGUCGCAGAGGGUGAGAAUCCCGUCUUUGACAUGGACUGCCAGUGUGUUGUGGUGUGCUCUCAAAGAGUCGAGUUGUUUGGGAAUGCAGCUCUAAAUGGGUGGUAAACUCCAUCUAAAGCUAAAUAUUGGCGAGAGACCGAUAGUGAACAAGUACCGUGAGGGAAAGAUGAAAAGGACUUUGGAAAGAGAGUUAAACAGUAUGUGAAAUUGUUGAAAGGGAAACGCUUGAAGUCAGUUAUGUAUUCUAGGGAUCAACCUAGCUACUUUUGCUGGGUGAAUUUCCUAGUCUUACAGGCCAACAUCAGUCUUGACUGCUGGAAAAGAGCAGAGGGAAUGUGGCACUUUCGGGUGUGUUAUAGCCCUGUGUCAUAUGUGGCAGUUGGGACUGAGGAAUGCAGCAUGCCGCGAGGCUGGGUUUCUGACCACGUUCAUGCUUAGGAUGUUGGCUUUUAAUGGCUUCAAUCGACCCGUCUUGAAACACGGACCAAGGAGUCUAACCAUGCCUGCGAGUGUUUGGGUGGGGAAAACCCUUGUGCACAAUGAAAGUGAAAGUUGAGAUCCCUGUCAUGGGGAGCAUCGACGCCCGGACUUGAGCUUUUAGCGACGGAUCCGCGGUAGAGCAUGCAUGUUGGGACCCGAAAGAUGGUGAACUAUGCCUGAAUAGGGCAAAGCCAGAGGAAACUCUGGUGGAGGCUCGUAGCGAUUCUGACGUGCAAAUCGAUCGUCAAAUUUGGGUAUAGGGGCGAAAGACUAAUCGA